rnacentral:rRNA from 1 species
GUUUGAUUAUGGCUCAGGAUGAACGCUAGCGGCAGGCUUAACACAUGCAAGUCGAGGGGCAGCGCGGGUAGCAAUACCUGGCGGCGACCGGCGAAAGGGUGAGUAACGCGUGAGCAACGUGCCCGUAUGUGGGGGAUAGUCAUUGGAAACGAUGCGUAAUACCCCGUAACACAUGGAACUGCAUGGUUCUAUGUUGAAAGAUUGAUUGCAUACGGAUCGGCUCGCGUGCCAUUAGGUAGACGGCGGGGUAACGGCCCACCGUGCCGACGAUGGCUAGGGGUUCUGAGAGGAAGGUCCCCCACAUUGGAACUGAGACACGGUCCAGACUCCUACGGGAGGCAGCAGUGAGGAAUAUUGGACAAUGGCCGGAAGGCUGAUCCAGCCAUGCCGCGUGCGGGAAUGACGGCCCUAUGGGUUGUAAACCGCUUUUGCGAGGGAGCAAUAAGGGUAACGUGUUGCCCGAUGAGAGUACCUCGCGAAUAAGCAUCGGCUAACUCCGUGCCAGCAGCAGC